rnacentral:rRNA from 1 species
GACGAACGCUGGCGGCGUGCUUAACACAUGCAAGUCGAACGGAAAGGCCCUGCUUUUGUGGGGUGCUCGAGUGGCGAACGGGUGAGUAACACGUGAGUAACCUGCCCUUGACUUUGGGAUAACUUCAGGAAACUGGGGCUAAUACCGGAUAGGAGCUCCUGCUGCAUGGUGGGGGUUGGAAAGUUUCGGCGGUCGGGGAUGGACUCGCGGCUUAUCAGCUUGUUGGCGGGGUAGUGGCUUACCAAGGCUUUGACGGGUAGCCGGCCUGAGAGGGUGACCGGCCACAUUGGGACUGAGAUACGGCCCAGACUCCUACGGGAGGCAGCAGUGGGGAAUAUUGCACAAUGGGCGGAAGCCUGAUGCAGCAACGCCGCGUGCGGGAUGACGGCCUUCGGGUUGUAAACCGCUUUCGCCUGUGACGAAGCGUGAGUGACGGUAAUGGAUAAAGAAGCACCGGCUAACUACGUG